rnacentral:rRNA from 1 species
AUGGCUGCUGUGCUCCGAUCCGCGGCGAGGCGGUUGGCCGGCGAGCUGCCGGCGGCUGAGAUGGGGCUCCACCGCCUCCCUCUGCACUCCCAGGCCAAUGUUUGGAGCGCCUCAUCUGCUCCUCGCUCUGCCCCCUCUUCUCUGACCAAGGCUAAGGCGGCGAUGGAGAGCGCCAUUCGCCCGUCAUUCAUCCCGCGUCACACAGUGUCCACCUCUUUCGGCCGCGCCGCCUCAAAGCCUCUGUGCAAGACCAAGGCGGUGAUCGAGAGCACCCUUCUACCACAACUCAUCCCGCGCCGCACAAUGUCCUCCUCCUCCAGUCGCGCCGCCUCUCAACCAGCCGACAAGUUUUGGCUUGAGAUAGUGGGUCACAGGAUGAAAGGUCCGCAGAAUCCGUGCCCGAUGAUUUUCAGAAAGCGAAUCAGUGGUGUGGAUGCCGACAAGGCUGAAGCAGUCUUCCUCGACGUGAUGAUGAUGGCUAAAUAUGAUGGGAAUGUUCCACCAAAUAUGAUGAGUAGUCCCGUUCGAGCGUUGCUCCGGAAGGCGCUUAUCCGAUACAUGAAGAUUAAGUGGUUUAUUAAAGAAAUUGCUCUAUCUCUCAAGAUACGUGUCGUUUUUAAGCUGGGCAAGUUAAACUUUGCCGUCAUCUGCGUGUUGCUUUACGUGACAUACGGGAGGCCCCUAUCUCUGCUCCGGAGGUUCUGGAAGAUCCUAAAUUCUCAAGGAGGCGAUGACUCGGAGUAA